rnacentral:rRNA from 1 species
GAUGAACGCUAGCGGCAGGCUUAAUACAUGCAAGUCGAGGGACAGCACAGGUAGCAAUACUGGGUGGUAACCGGCAAACGGGUGCGGAACACGUACACAACCUUCCUUUAAGUGGGGGAUAGCCCAGAGAAAUUUGGAUUAAUACCCCGUAAUAUAGUUGAAUGGCAUCAUUUGAUUAUUAUAGCUACGGCGCUUAAUGAUGGGUGUGCGGCUGAUUAGAUAGUUGGCGGGGUAACGGCCCACCAAGUCCACGAUCAGUAGCUGAUGUGAGAGCAUGAUCAGCCACACGGGCACUGAGACACGGGCCCGACUCCUACGGGAGGCAGCAGUAAGGAAUAUUGGUCAAUGGACGCAAGUCUGAACCAGCCAUGCCGCGUGAAGGAUUAAGGUCCUCUGGAUUGUAAACUUCCUUUAUUUGGGACGAAAAAGGGCCUUUCCAGGUCAACUGACGGUACCAGAUGAAUAAGCACCGGCUAACUCCGUGCCAGCCGCCGCCGUAAAAC